rnacentral:rRNA from 1 species
GAGUUUUGAUCAUGGCUCAGGAUGAACGCUAGCUACAGGCUUAACACAUGCAAGUCGAGGGGAAACGAUAUUGGAAGCUUGCUUCCGAUAGGCGUCGACCGGCGCACGGGUGAGUAACGCGUAUCCAACCUGCCCACCACUUGGGGGAUAACCUUGCGAAAGUAAGACUAAUACCCAAUGAUAUCUCUAGAAGACAUCUGAAAGAGAUUUAAAGAUUUAUCGGUGAUGGAUGGGGAUGCGUCUGAUUAGCUUGUUGGCGGGGUAACGGCCCACCAAGGCAACGAUCAGUAGGGGUUCUGAGAGGAAGGUCCCCCCACAUUGGAACUGAGACACGGUCCAAACUCCUACGGGAGGCAGCA